rnacentral:rRNA from 1 species
GCAUAUCAAUAAGCGGAGGAAAAGAAACUAACAAGGAUUCCCCUAGUAACUGCGAGUGAAGCGGGAAAAGCUCAAAUUUAAAAUCUGACAGUCUUUGGCUGUCCGAGUUGUAGUCUGGAGAAGCGUUUUCCGCGCUGGACCGUGUACAAGUCUCCUGGAACGGAGCGUCAUAGAGGGUGAGAAUCCCGUCUUUGACACGGACUACCAGUGCUUUGUGAUGCGCUCUCAAAGAGUCGAGUUGUUUGGGAAUGCAGCUCAAAAUGGGUGGUAAACUCCAUCUAAAGCUAAAUAUUGGCGAGAGACCGAUAGCGAACAAGUACCGUGAGGGAAAGAUGAAAAGCACUUUGGAAAGAGAGUUAAACAGUACGUGAAAUUGCUGAAAGGGAAACGCUUGAAGUCAGUCGCGUUUGCUAGGACUCAGCCUUGCCUCGGCUUGGUGCAUUUCCUAGUAGACGGGCCAGCAUCAUUUUUGGCUGCGGGAAAAAGGUCAGAGGAAUGUGGCACCUUCGGGUGUGUUAUAGCCUCUGGCUGUAUACCGUGGCUGGGAGUGAGGAACUCAGCACGCCUUUAUGGCGGGGCUUCGGCCACCUUCGUGCUUAGGAUGCUGGCGUAAUGGCUUUAAACGACCCGUCUUGAAACACGGACC